rnacentral:lncRNA from 1 species
GCAACCCAAAGUAUUAUAAGUUUCCAAUUUUUUAUAGAGAAAUUAAAGUAACAAAUGACCUAAAAUUCUCUAUUUCUAUUUUUUCUAAACCAGCAAAAUUACAAAAACAUAAAAGUUCUCUAUUUUUCUAACUAAUCAUGAAAUGUGGCAUGCAUACUAGUUAUAAUUAACUAAUUAACAUUAUCAUAAAUUGCAAAUUAAAGUAUUAUAAGUUUCUAAUUUUUAUACAGAAAUUAAAGUAACAAAAAACCUAAAAUUCUCUAUUUCUAUUAUUUCUAAACAAAAAAUAUUAAAAAAGCACAAAAGUUCUCUAUUUUUAUAAUUAACUAAUUAACUCGGUCACAAAUUGCAAAUUAAAGUAUUAUAAGUUUUUAAUUAUUUUCUAAAUUAAUUAAAAUAAAAAACCAUAGUAUUCACUAUUUCUCUAACUAAACCAUUAAAUGCGGUAGACAUAAUAGUAAUGAAAAGUUAAUUUUUAGGGAACUAAUUAUAGUUGGUAUCAUUAAAAUAUUCAAACGAUCAAGUGAUUGGAGUUUAAAAUAGCGUAGAAUUCAUAAAACAAAAAAAACAUAUAAAACACUAGGAAAUGACAUAUGUCGCUGCUAAUGUCGAGAAGAUGAAGCUAGUGACCUCUUAACAAGUCGAUGACGGCGUAGAAAUGAUGAAAUGAAUAAAUAGCCGG